GUACUUACUUUGGCAGCACAUAUACUAAAAUUGGAAUGAUACAGAGAUCAGCAUGGCCCCUAUGUAAAGAUGGCAUGCAAAUCCAUGAAGCUUUCCAUAUUUUU